rnacentral:rRNA from 1 species
GACGUAGGAGGCGAGCGUUGUCCGGAUUCAUUGGGCGUAAAGAGCGCGCAGGCGGCUUGGUAAGUCGGAUGUGAAAUCCCGAGGCUCAACCUCGGGUCUGCAUCCGAUACUGCCCGGCUAGAGGUAGGUAGGGGAGAUCGGAAUUCCUGGUGUAGCGGUGAAAUGCGCAGAUAUCAGGAGGAACACCGGUGGCGAAGGCGGCUCACUGGUCCGGUACUGACGCUGAGGUGCGAAAGCGUGGGGAGCAAACAGG